CAUGCAAGUCGAGCGCGAAAGUUCCUUCGGGAAUGAGUAGAGCGGCGGACGGGUGAGUAACGCGUGGGAAAUUGCCCAGUAGUGGGGGACAACAGCCGGAAACGGUUGCUAAUACCGCAUACGCCCUACGGGGGAAAGCGGGGGAUCUUCGGACCUCGUGCUAUUGGAUAUGCCCGCGUCGGAUUAGCUUGUUGGUGAGGUAACGGCUCACCAAGGCGACGAUCCGUAGCUGGUCUGAGAGGAUGAUCAGCCACACUGGGACUGAGACACGGCCCAGACUCCUACGGGAGGCAGCAGUGGGGAAUAUUGCACAAUGGGCGCAAGCCUGAUGCAGCCAUGCCGCGUGUGUGAAGAAGGCCUUCGGGUUGUAAAGCACUUUCAGUAGGGAGGAAGGCCCUAAAGUUAAUACCUUUGGGGAUUGACGUUACCUACAGAAGAAGCACCGGCUAACUCCGUGCCAGCAGCCGCGGUAAUACGGAGGGUGCGAGCGUU
rnacentral:rRNA from 1 species